rnacentral:piRNA from 1 species
UAUGGAGCUUUGUGAGAUUGACUGUUC